GCGGAUGUGGUGGAAUUGGUAGACACGCACGUUUGAGGGGCGUGUGACUUCGGUCUUGCGAGUUCAAGUCUCGCCAUCCGCAUCA
rnacentral:tRNA from 20 species